GCGACCGGCGCACGGGUGAGUAACACGUAUCCAACCUGCCGAUAACUCGGGGAUAGCCUUUCGAAAGAAAGAUUAAUACCCGAUGGUAUAAUUAGACCGCAUGGUCUUGUUAUUAAAGAAUUUCGGUUAUCGAUGGGGAUGCGUUCCAUUAGGCAGUUGGUGAGGUAACGGCUCACCAAACCUUCGAUGGAUAGGGGUUCUGAGAGGAAGGUCCCCCACAUUGGAACUGAGACACGGUCCAAACUCCUACGGGAGGCAGCAGUGAGGAAUAUUGGUCAAUGGGCGCAGGCCUGAACCAGCCAAGUAGCGUGAAGGAUGACUGCCCUAUGGGUUGUAAACUUCUUUUAUAUGGGAAUAAAGUUUUCCACGUGUGGAAUUUUGUAUGUACCAUAUGAAUAAGGAUCGGCUAACUCCGUGCCAGCAGCCGCGGUAAUACGGAGGAUCCGAGCGUUAUCCGGAUUUAUUGGGUUUAAAGGGAGCGUAGGUGGACAGUUAAGUCAGUUGUGAAAGUUUGCGGCUCAACCGUAAAAUUGCAGUUGAUACUGGCUGUCUUGAGUACAGUAGAGGUGGGCGGAAUUCGUGGUGUAGCGGUGAAAUGCUUAGAUAUCACGAAGAACUCCGAUUGCGAAGGCAGCUCACUGGACUGCAACUGACACUGAUGC
rnacentral:rRNA from 1 species